CUUGUUAUUAUUCACCCUACAUCAAAAACCUAGAGAAAAAUUCAUAAGCCUCUCAAAAAAUUGAGAUCAGAAUAAUUGUUUUAAAGCCCUGUCUAAGGCACGUGCCUUGAGAUCACAUUGGGCUUUAAACACGAAAUUUAUGCCUUCAACAUUAUUUGUCAAGGCUUAUCCUUUAAUUUACAGAAGCUUUAAACGAACCUCUUGCAACACUUUCCCAAUUGCACAAUUUAAACAUUGAUCAGUCAAUAAUAAAUUACUAUCUCAUAUGGCAUAUUGCCAUUUUUCAAAACUUGAACAAAUAAGACAAAUACAUCUCAUGUUGCUUGUGAAAGUAACAAAAUAAUGAUAUAUUUAAUCCAUCGUUAAGCACCAAUGUAUGUUUAAACCUGGUAAAUCAAGCCACAGCAUUUUAACCCUUUAAGCAAACAGUAUUUGAAACGUUAGAUAUAACUUUCGAAAUCAUUGCACUCGAUUAUAAAGGUACCUAAAUCUGUGAAAGUGAAAAUACUUGAUCAUCGCAACAAUUUCCAUAUUUAGUCAUUGCAAUUUCCAAGGUGAAUCUGCAACUAUAUUAUCACUCUUAAUAGAAAUAAAAUAACUUCAUUUAUGAUACUGGAUAUUCGAAAUGUUCUUCAUGACAUAAAGAAAUCAGCUUUGCAAAAUAAAGAAAUGAUGUAUAAUAUAAAAAAUGCAGUAGCAAGCUUAAGUUUCUUCACUUUAACUCCGAUCCACCAGUCAGCCAGCCAAAUGAGCUUGAGCUACAACAGCUCUGCCACCGCUUUAUUUAUGCUCCUGCAAGCAUUCUUCCACAAUGAUCCUUUUAGCACAAAACAUAGUGCCUGAGAAAUCCCCCAAUACAUUUUGCGAUAUUUGUCCAAAUUCAAAAAUACUUUAUCGGACAAAUAUCAAAAAUACUUCACGCACGAAUAACUUAUAUAAGAACAAGUAACCAGAAAAUCACUCAAAAGAUCAAAUAAAAACUAAAAGUUCGGAAACCCUAAAAAACGUUUAGCAAAUCAGCUAGGGAUAAAGAAAAACCAGUUUAAUCAGCUCAACUAAAUCAAACCCAUUUCAAAAACCUUUAAAAAAAUCGAUUUUUAACCUUGAAAUCCCCCAACUUCAGACUAUGAUUUCUAUGUAUAUGUGAGAAUAGAGAAAGAAAAUUACAAUAAUAUAUUGAUUUUAAUUCAUUGAUAACAUAGGGAGGCAAGAUAUAAUAAAAGAAGAUGAAAACCUAUGACAUAUAAUGAUUUUAAGAUUCAUAAAUAAUAGUUGAUAGAUUCAUGUAAUGUCAGAGUUAUUAGUAAGAUUGAAGAAAGGUGCACCUCCUGGGUACCCAAUUUCAGCCGUCGCAGCAACUUAUGAGGUUUCUGCUCCAUUCUGUCCUAUACAAAAAAAACCCAGCUCAAAAAUUCAAAGAAGAUGGAAGCUUAAGUGAGUACCAUUAAUCUCGUCGAU
rnacentral:lncRNA from 1 species